rfam:Musa acuminata subsp. malaccensis Doubled-haploid Pahang (DH-Pahang) genomic chromosome, chr5
GUUCCCGAUGAUGCCUAUUUUGACCAUGCUAAUGCUGAAUUGCUUUGACGACAAUUCGUUGUAUGUUCUGAGGGAACC